GGACUACUGGGGUUUCUAAUCCUGUUUGCUCCCCACGCUUUCGCGUCUCAGCGUCAAGAAUGGUCCAGAAGGCCGCCUUCGCCACCGGUAUUCCUCCUAAUAUCUACGAAUUUCACCUCUACACUAGGAAUUCCACCUUCCUCUACCACCUUCUAGCUAAUUAGUUUCGGAUGCACUUCCUCGGUUGAGCCCAGGGAUUUCACACCCGACUUAACUAACAGCCUACACGCGCUUUACGCCCAAUGAUUCCGAACAACGCUAGCACCCUACGUAUUACCGCGGCUGCUGGCAC
rnacentral:rRNA from 1 species